CACUGAGGCCGUUCUGAAUAGAAGUGGGGCUGCUGCGGGAUUCAUAGGCAGCCCACCGGGGCCUUCCGUCAAGAUGAAGCCACCCUGCAUCGGGACGAGCUGUGGGGGUGGACGCGCGUCCCGUGGGCCUGGGCGCCGGGUCCAUUCCCAGGCCUUCAGGCCCUGAGCCGGCACAGACAAAGCUCCGGAACUCAAGGGAAACAGACUUCAGCCUCCUUACGUCUCGCAGCAGCUCCAGGGCGCAGCCCGCAGCGCACACCCCGGGCGGCAGCUCCAAGCAUACUUCUUUCAGUCCUGGGCUUGACCUGCCCUCUCUCCGCCCCCCACAGCUGCUUUUACUGUACUGCCUUUCACUGUAUUUUACACGGAGAGAGCCUCAACAGCUGACCUCGGCAGCGUGGUUUUUUCUGUCGUGUGAUUUUGUGUUGCGGCAGCGGUGCUGACCUGCGGCUUACCUCACACUUUGGCGAAGUUCGCAGCAGGCAGCUGUAUAAGAGAACGCCGCGUUUGUCAGCUCACCCUGCUCAUGGCGACAGUGACGUCCUCAGGGCAGCCAGUCGGGGGUUCCCAGCAGCCCCCUACCCAUCUGAGGCUGGAGGGCUGAGCUCAGGCCCCACCCCCACAGAAGAUGCUGUGGCUUCAGCUUCCAAGGUGACAGGAGAAGCGGGCUCCUCAUCACCCGCUGCUGCUUCUCUCAGAAUAGAACGCAGAGGGAGGGAACAUCUCAUGGGCAAAAGCCACAGUGUUAAAGCCCGAGUCCUCACCGUGGCUGCUCCCCCACAGUCUCGUGGGCACCUCUCUCCACGUCAGCCACCGCUUACUGGAGUCCAGGCGCCAAGACGCUUCGAUUUACGUCUUAGAAGAAGAGUAAGGUGCGGUGGAAGGCGUGAAUGUUUAUGGCAGUCACCGUAACUUCGUCCAGGAAAGUGAAGUGAAAGUGAAAGUCACUCAUUCGUGUCCGACUCUUUGCAACCCCAUGAACUGUAUUCCAUGGAAUUCUCCAGGCCAGAAUACUGGAGUGGAUAGCGUUUUCCUUCUCCAAGGGAUUUUCCCAACCCAGAGAUUGAACCCAGGCCUCCUGCAUUGCAGGCAGAUUCUUUACCAGCUGAGCCACGGGGCUUUCUAAAGCUUCCCUGUGGGCUAAAGAGACCUGAUGAACCUCCAGUGAUGGUGGUCUCAUUUCUACUUGGUCUAAAUGUAACAUUGUCAUUUGUCCAUAGGAGCCUGGGGGGCUGUCCUCAAAUAGAAGAGACACAAAAGAGACUCUGCCGGGCAGAGUUGGCUACUCAGGCAUUUUGUUGAGUACAUGAAUGCUGUGAGUUGCUC